GAGGGUAUAGCUCAGUGGUAGAGUGCAUGCCUAGUAUGCACGAGGUCCUGGGUUUAAACCUGGUUCAAUCC
rnacentral:tRNA from 1 species